UGUAGUUCAGUGGUAGAGUGCUUGCCUAGCACGCAUGAACUCUGGGUUCAAGUCCCAGCA
rnacentral:tRNA from 1 species